GGUGUGUGCAGCUAUUUCAGCCUCUCUGGGUCUGCAGCACAAAUCAACCGCCUAUUCAAGACCGAUCAGCCUCUCGGUUUUAAGACCACGGGAGAUGAGAAGGGUUAGCCGGCAGCGUAUCAGACCUCAUGCAUGACCUGCCUUCAGCGUGGGGCUCCCAGUGCUGACAGCCGAGAAAGCUCCUGACAAUCCUUCCCCUCCAAAGUAGCUCAUUGCGCUGAGAAAGAUGUGGCCGGGGAAGGUUAUUUUUCCAGACUCCAGAUUUGCAAUCAGUGAAGACAUCUCCUAAUUUCCAGUUGUAAAAAGGACAAAAAGAAAAUAA